GCCUAAGUUAGCUUAGUUGGUAGUGCGUCUGCCUUGUAAGUGGUAUGCCGCGGGUUCGAUUCCCGCCCGGGGCG
rfam:Asian citrus Psyllid, Diaphorina citri - Florida Strain, whole genome shotgun sequence.